rnacentral:rRNA from 1 species
GUACACGCUGUGACUAGCAUAUCAAUAAGCGGAGGAAAAGAAACUAACAAGGAUUCCCCUAGUAACGGCGAGUGAAGCGGGAAGAGCUCAAAUUUGAAAUCUUAAAGGGUUUCCCUUUACGAAUUGUAGUUUAAAGAAGUGUUUUCUGUUGAGGUUUUGGUAAAAGUUCUUUGGAAUAGGACAUCAUAGAGGGUGAGAAUCCCGUAUUUGACCUUUACUUUCAACUUUGUGAUACACUUUCAAAGAGUCGGAUUGUUUGGGAAUGCAGUCCAAAAUGGGUGGUAAAUUUCAUCUAAAGCUAAAUAUUGGCGAGAGACCGAUAGCGAACAAGUACCGUGAGGGAAAGAUGAAAAGAACUUUGAAAAGAGAGUUAAACAGUACGUGAAAUUGUCAAAAGGGAAGCGUUUGACACCAGUGUUGUUUUUCUGAAAAUCAAUUAAAGAACUGUUUAUGCUAAGUUGUUUAGACUUUAUCAGCUAACUGUUUAGUUUUGAGCUUUUCUUUAAUGCACUUUUCAGUUAACAAGUCAACAUCAAUUUCUUUUGCUGUAAAAAAGCUUGAGGAAGGUGGCUUGAGAUUCGUCUUAAGUGUUUAUAGCCUCUCGCCUAUGCAGUCGGAGAGAUUGAGGUCUGCAGCGUAGAUCCUUCGGGGCUAAAUGCAUUUGUGCUAAGUUAUAGCAUUUUAUAGACAACUUGUUGACUAUGAUUUGUCUUGUAGCUUACUCGCUUAUGUUAUUUUACCUACGCUUAGGAUGUUGACGCGCGUGUGUGCGUG